rnacentral:rRNA from 1 species
UGUUUCCAUUAAUCAAGAACGAAAGUUAGAGGUUCGAAGGCGAUCAGAUACCGCCCUAGUUCUAACCAUAAACGAUGCCAGCCAGCGAUCCGGCUGUGUUCCUCAAAUGACACGCCGGGCAGCUUCCGGGAAACCAAAGCUUUUGGGUUCCGGGGGAAGUAUGGUUGCAAAGCUGAAACUUAAAGGAAUAGACGGAAGAGCACUACCAGGAAUGGAGCCUGCGGCUUAAUUUGACUUAACACGGGGAAACUUACCAGGUCCGGACACAGGAAGGAUUGACAGAUUGAGAGCUCUUUCUUGAUUCUGUGGUAGGUGGUGCACGGCCGUUCUUAGUUGGUGGAGUGAUUUGUCUGGUUAAUUCCGAUAACGAUCGAGACUCUAGCCUACUAAAUAGACGUUCCGAUCCUUGAAGUCGGACGUUUCUUCUUAGAGGGACACGCGGCGUCUAACCGCAUGAGAUAGAGCGAUAACAGGUCUGAUAUGCCCCUANAUGUCCUGGGCCGCACGCGCGCUACAUUGAAGGAAUCAGCGUGUGAUUUCCCGGCCCGACAGGGCUGGGUAACCCGAUGAAACUCCUUCGUGCUGGGGAUAAGAAGGUGUAACUGUCUUCUUGAACGAAGAAUUCCUAAUAAGCGUGAGUCAUCAGCUCACGUUGAUUACGUCCCUGCUCUUUGUACUCACCGGCCGUCGCUACUAGCGAUUGAAUUAUUUAGUGAGGUCUUCGGACUGGCGCUCGGACUGGGCUUCGGGUCGAGCCGACGUGCCGAAAAGAUGACCGAACUUAAUUAUUUAGAGGUAAUAAAAGUCGUAACAAGGUUUCG